GACGAACGCUGGCGGCGUGCUUAACACAUGCAAGUCGAACGAAGUGGCGAACGGGUGAGUAAUACGUGGGUAACUGCCCUCCUUUUUGGGAUAAGCCUUGGAAACGGGGUCUAAUACCGAAUAAAGGGGGCUGGCUCGCGGCCGAUCAGCUGGUUGGGGGGGUGUUGGCCUACCAAGGCGGUGACGGGUAGCCGGCCUGAGAGGGUGACCGGCGACAUUGGGCUGGGAUACGGCCCAAGCUCCUACGGGGGGCAGCAGUGGGGAAUAUUGCACAAUGGGGGAAAGCCGGAUGCAGCAACGCGAGUGGGGGAUGACGGCCUUCGGGUUGUAAACCGCUUUAAGCCAUGACGCGGUAGUGGCAGAAGAAGCACCGGCUAACUACGUGCCAGCCGCCGCGGUAAUAC
rnacentral:rRNA from 1 species